AUUGAACGCUGGCGGCAGGCCUAACACAUGCAAGUCGAACGAGUGGCGGACGGGUGAGUCAUGUCUGGGAAACUGCCUGAUGGAUGGGGAUAACUACUGGAAACGGUAGCUAAUACCGCAUACCAUCAGAUGUGCCCAGAUGGGAUUAGCUAGUUGGUGGGGUAACGGCUCACCAAGGCGACGAUCCCUAGCUGGUCUGAGAGGAUGACCAGCAACACUGGAACUGAGACACGGUCCAGACCCCUACGGGAGGCAGCAGUGGGGAAUAUGGGACAAUGGGCGCAAGCCUGAUGCAGCCAUGGCGAGUGUAUGAAGAAGGCCUUCGGGUUGUAAAGUAUGUUCAGCGGGGAGGCGUUACCCGCAGAAGAAGCACCGGCUAACUCCGUGCCAGCAGCGGCGGUAAUUC
rnacentral:rRNA from 1 species